UGUGGUCAAGCUCUGUGGUAGAGUGCUUGCCUUGCAUGCAUGAGGCCCUGGGUUCCAUUCCUCAGCACCACAG
rfam:Dipodomys ordii contig_54518, whole genome shotgun sequence.